UCCGUCCAGGUUAAACCUAGAGGCACUCUUCAAAGACAAAUCUUUAAUUGUAUUAUAUUGAAAUAAUUUAAUCAAAAACUUGAACAACUUAGAACGGGGGUUUCGUUCGUUUGUGGAAGUUAAUCCUACGUCUCACAACACGAUCUUACGACAGCCAUGCAACACUUGUCAUUUUCGCACUUCAAAUCUGUAUAAGAAAAGAAGAAUAAAAACAUGAUAAAGGAUCGGUAAGGUUCUUCGAGGGUAAUCAAUUUACACAGCAUGCUCCACCGCUAGUAAGAACUCCCGUCAAUUCCUUUGAGUUUCAACCUUGCGAUCGUACACCCCAGGUGGACCAUUUAACGCGUUAGCUGUGAAAUCCAGAAUGUAGAAAUUCUAAAUCUUAAUGGUCAUCGUUGAC
rnacentral:misc_RNA from 1 species